AAAUUAAACUCAAAACAGUUGUACAAAAAAUGACUAACUGUAAUACAGUAUUUAUAACCCCACCCCCUCCAAAUAAAAAAGGAAUGAAAUGGGAGAACAAAUAUUAAUUAAGUACUUCCUUCUAUUCUUAAACAAGCAUUUUGUGUAGUAGAUGAAGUGGUUGUGUAUGAAUUUAUGGGUUCUACUGCCCCUUCAUUCCAUUCUGUCACCAUUAAUCUACUCUCCUCUAAUCAUAUUUGCACAUAUUUCGCAUAAUCUGCAAAAUCACAAGACAAUAUAAGAAUGAUGUUAUAUUUAGAGGCAGAUAUAGGAUUCAAGAAGAUAGAUGCAUUAUUAUAAAGAGUUGAAUAUAGAUUUAUAUUUGCGGAUUCAACCUUUAAGUUCUUACUAUGAAAUCAUUAUCAUUUAGAUAUUAUAGUUAAAAACUAAAAAUUUCUUGCAAUUUUAGUGAAUUUUCACAUAUAUUCCUACUCCAUAAAAAUAUAUAAUGGAAUCAUUAAACCGUGCUACAUCAUUUACUGCUAUUCAUUUUAAUUAUAAAAUUUUGUGAUAAUAAAAGGAGAUCAAGGAUUUCAAGGUGUUAGAUUUGGGAUUUUUAAUAAGUAAACCAAACAAAAAAGAAAAAAUAAAAAUAAAUACUUAAUUAAAAACACAAGAGGUACACUACACAUGCCAACAAACUAAGAUUUGAACCUCCAACUUCACUUGUAAAGAUGCACCCAAUAUCAUUGCAACAUAGGACUAUUUGAGCUUGAGUGUCCAGUGUAUAUUUAUGGAAUUUUUAAGAAAUACAACAUUACUAUACAUAGUAUCGAGAGAGGAGCAUGGCUUCAGGUACACCAUGCUCCAACACAUAGAUACGCCCUAGGUUACUCUCCUCAAUCAAUAUGUGCAAUAGAUAUAUAAAGCACAACGAGAGACUUUUAUUGGUAAAAAGUGCAACCACAACUACGAACUUAAUUCUAAGGUAGGCUAGACAAAUUCUUAUUGUCCUUAUUGCUCCAUUUAAAAUCCUAUAUGUAUUAAGUACCUUAUGAAAAUUAGUUGUUCUUUUUUUUUUUUCCUGUUUUACUUUAUCCCUUUUAAGUACUUGAAUCCUUAAUCUCAAGGAGCAUAAUUUUUUCUUUUACUAUUUUAUUUAAUUAUGAUACUAUUGCAUGGACUCUCUAAAAUAUUAUCAAAUUUGUAACGACCUGAAAUUUUAUCAAGAUCCUAAUGACACCUAACCCGACCUGAUAGGCGAACCAACACACAUAACAUUCAUGACAACAUAUCACUAAAGGUAUUACAUAGUAUAAGUAAUAGCAUGAAUAAGUGUGAAGACAAUAGGCAACUGCAGAAAAUACUAUCUUAUCUCAAGUAGUACAAGUCAUAAACUACUAAACAGAGUAUGACUGAGUCUUAAAUAUAAAUGUAUUGGCUGAAUCAAGAAAAUUGUAGGAAAAAUAAGAAAGAAAACCUCAACGCUUGUAUUCUUCGAGGAACUUUUUGAUCAUUUACCUUCAUCAAAGCAGGAAGCAUGAAAACUCCAAAAUUAGUAAUAAAGGGUGAUUUUGUUGUGAUUUUGAAUUUUUGGCUUAUGUUCUAAUAGUUAACCACAAAAGGAAAACGAAGAGCAUGGUCCAUAAUCUCGUUGUUGCCGAGCCCGAUUCACUAUGAUCACCGGCGGAUCUAUGUAGGGCAAAGGGGGUGGCACGCCACCCACAAGCUCGAGUAAAAAUUCCAAGUAUACAGUGCCACCUUGAGGAAAA
rnacentral:lncRNA from 1 species